AAAAGUGUGUCGAAUAAGUUUUAUUUUGUUCAUUUUUGAGAUGCUGUAGUUAAACUGUCAUUUGUAGGUUAUACUGUUUUUAAUGGAACGAAAUAUAAAAUUCGGAAAUUGUUUUAACCUUAUUUUGUUAGUGAACUUGCGGAUACAUUUUUUCAAUUUCGUUAAUAUAAUUUAUUAAAGUGUGAGACACUUUUAUUGAGUUAAGUGUUUCCUGACUUUAUUCUCUUCGUAAAACCUCGGUGAAAUGGCAGAAAAAACGGAAAAUAUCAGUCAUGAUUUUAACGUGGAUGAAAAAUACAGAGUAUACGCGAGCGUGUCGUUCGCUGUAUUACUCCUAGGAAUCGGCGUGCCUCUCUGGUGGCACACUACAACAGUGCCUCGUGUUACACUUCCCUAUACUGGAAUUGAUGAAUUAUCGAAACUGGAUAUUAAAAUCACUACAAAGAUUACUGUCGCAGCCCUCUCACACAAUCGCGCCGAAUCGCUUGCACAUGAGAUCAGACGUACGUUCGAAAACGCUGAAAUAUAUCAGCUAAACGUAGAAUAUCAGAUAGUUUCCAAUAAUCUUUUGGCAUCCGCUUUCACGUACCACGAGCUCGAAAAGGUGGCUUCGACUUUCGAUUUGGAUGUGGGUGGUUUAUUACUGCUCGAAGCGACAAAUUUGAACGACGCUGUUCUAGUUGGCUCAAAGAGAACGUUGUAUUUCUCCACCGAAACUAAUAUAUCUACAUUAAUACAAGUAUUGUCAGAAUGGAUUCUGCGUGAUAAAUCAUUGGCGCUGACAAAAAAUGCGCUCGCAGAGCCUACCAUGUAUAGCUUAGAUGAGGAGAAUAGAAGACGAUUUCCAGCCAGUCUGGCAUAUGAUGUUCUAGUCACUUUGGUUAAUCCUGAUCCUGAAAAGCUGAAGAUUGUUUGGAACCUUAAGACUGUAACUGAAGAAUACGUGCAACCGUUUCUAGAUGAGUUGUCCAUUUUGAGUAACUUUUCUAUCAAAUCGCAGUGGCUGUAUUUAUUACCAUUAGAUAUGAAUCCUAGACGUGUACCCGACAGUAGCCCAAGCCGCAGGCACUUUGCCUUGCGCGAGAAUGUCCUGCCACAACUUGUAACACCAUUGGAGAAAAAAUUAGCAUCGCAGGUUAGUCUCCAUCCAUGUAUCAAUUUAGUCGUUUAUAUGGUACCGUGUGACAAUGCGCCUUUACAUAUCUACACCCGCAGCGGGCACAGAUCGCGAACAGAUAGCAAUGUGGAAGCCUUUCUCUCUCCAAGAUGGGGUGGCGUGAUUUUGAUUAAUCCAUCAUCCGAGAUUUGUGAGAGCGCACGAGAGGAUGAAGCUGUUACUGUCGUUCCCGAAGAAACUGCUAUAGUAGGCACAUUCCUGGCACAACUCAGACUAUUGCUAGGCAUUCCAGAAAUGAAAUCUAUUAACGGAGUGACGGCGGUGCCAUUGGUGGGGUUAAAAUCACGUGAUUGGGAAAUUGAUUCUUUAUUGAGAUAUCGCACUGUUGAACAGUUAACUUCGGCCAAAUUAACUCUGCAGUCACUGGCGCGACUACUCAAAGAAAUUAGCAAUAUCGUUAUUACGGACGUAGUAGGAAACAGAAUCAAGACUGCUCUUGGGCUAGUGCAUGAAUCUGCUGAGCAUCUGCGACGAGGCGAUCUCAAACGUAGUUUCAUCCUCAGCAAAGAAGCUUUUAUCAUCUCUGAGGCGGCUUUUUCCGACCCAACACUCUUGGCGCUUCUUUACUUUCCAGAGGAUCAAAAGUACGCCGUGUACAUUCCCCUAUUUCUGCCGGCUAUGAUACCGGUGUUGUUAUCUCUCAAGAAUAUACGAAGGUACUAUUUUCCUGGAAAGGAUAACACAGAAAAAAAGGUCGAUCUUAGAGAAAGUAAAAAUGACGAGGACAAUAGACUGAAAACUGAAUAAAUCACUUAUCUGACCGAUAAUAUUACAUGCAGACACUCGUGCGAUUGCUCGUUUGAACUCAUUUCGAUCAAAAGUGUUUCAAUUGUGAAUACCACACUUCCAUCUCCACCACAACCGGAAAAACAAGGUUAUCAGCGACAGAAGGACCACGAAUUUUUUUGCCGCUGCAGAAUCCAAAGUAAAUUGCAGAGAUUUUAUUCCUUUCUUAUUACUCCGUGAACUAACUCGAACUUGAGUUAGUUCUACUAAGAAUCACCCAUUUGCUUCAUAUAAAAGCUGUGCAAUCUGUGUUCUUACGAAAUAGUAGUCCACAGACUAAUACUUUGUACGAAGAAAUAGCGUGUAGUUCUUAGAAUUGGACUUAGAAGGCCCAAUUGCACCAAAGUUAUUUUGACUAAGCGAAGCUUAAAACUCUUUCUGUCUUUGUCACACUUUUGGCUUGAAAAUGAGACAGAAAGAGUUUUAAGUCUCGUUUAAAUCUCGUCAAGUAAUGUUUAUACAACCGGGCCUAAUUAAAAUGUCAUUGUUAUACGAAAAUUUAUAUACGUGAGAUAUUGAUCAUGGUGGAAUAAACAAGGUAUACCAUUGCGCAUCCUGGCUGUGAAUGGCGGGGGUAAUCUAAGGUGGGGAAAUCAAUGAGAUAUUUGACCCGAAAUCGUGUUCUUUCGUUUAUUCGUGUUUUGCAUUUCGGGUCAAAUUUCCCAUUGGCUACUGCGCAACCACGGGAAUGGUACACCUUGUUUAUUCCACCAUGAUAUUGAUGUAGUAAUAUGUAGUGAUGUGUCAGUGACACGUAAAUUGUCUGUAAAUUGUGUGAAGUUCUACUUGUACUAUGAUUAAUCAUCUUUAGAUUCCCCUUAAGGAUCAUUUAUAUUGGCCGUAAACUGUUAAUUUAUGCUAAGCUGUAAGAAACUGACCAAUCACAAUCGAAUGUGAGCAGAAUGAAGUCAAUUAGUCAUUAUUCUAGUAUAAAUAAUCUUUAAAGCUAGAAACACAUAAAAAAAUCGUAAAGCAAUAAGACUUAAACAGUGAGCGAAUCAACCAAUCACAGUAGAGAACGUGA